UCAACUCCUUGUAGAGUCAACAUGGGCCAGCAUCCCUGUGGAACGCUUUCAACUCCUUGUAGAGUCAACAUGGGCCAGCAUCCCUGUGGAACGCUUUCAACUUCAUGCCCUGAGUUCAUGCCCUGAGAAUGUAGGCUGUUCUGAGGGCAAAAGGAGGUGCAACUCAAUAUUAGUAAGGUGUUCUUAAUGUUUUGUACACUCAGUGUGUACUAUAAUGCAUUGUGCCUCUCAAGGGGGUGGAAACUGAGGCUAGACUGGGCCUGACUGAAGGCUGGCUGGCCUGAUGCAUUAUGACCUGAAGCUCACAGGCAUUUACAAUGCCCUCCACCAAUCCCCUGGACUGUUACUGUUAGGUUGAAUGCCCUCCACCAAUCCCCUGGACUGUUACUGUUAGGUUGAAUGCCCUCCACCAAUCCCCUGGACUGUUACUGUUAGGUUGAAUGACUAACGAUGAACCCUACCUACAGUGAUUUGCUCUGACAGCAUUUUCUAUGUUAUUUUGACUAAUGAGUAACAUUUAAGUAUUUUUUUAGAGAUACUCAUGUCAACAAAUGAAUUUAGUUUAUUUUACAGGGAGAGGUGUAUGAACAGGGGAUGGACACUAUGAGGAAAUGGGAGGGGAGAGAUGAUGUCAAAUAGUUUUAUAACCUGAAUGAUGAACCAUGUCUCUGACAUUUUGUAUUUUAUUGGAGCUGUGGAUGUGGCUAGCUCUGGUCCAGGGGGUUAGUGCAUUCCUCGCUGACGCCCUGGACCAGAGCUAGUUGUGGCUAACUGUGGUGGAGAGAAAUAGAAUUUUAAAAUGCUGUAAUUUCAAGUAAAUAAGAAAAGAAACCCAAGACCUUACUUUAAAGACAAGAUCAAAGCUGCUCUCCCUAAUGAGGAGUUGUACAUAUACAUGUAUUUGAACAUAGUAUUAUUUGCAAUAUUAUAAUGUACAGAAUUGUAUUUAUAAUGUAUCUCAACAAACUGUUUUAAUUGGUACAAAGAUGUUCUAGAAUACAGAACGUUUACAAUCUAAACA